ensembl:lncRNA
GCCAGAUGCUCCGUGGGCUCUUUCUCCCAGUGCCAGAUCCCCAUGUGUAGAGGUUUGACAUGGGGUCAGAACUCUCACUCCUGUAGUUGUGAUGGGUGCUGCAGAGGAAAACCAUGGCAUGCAAUGAAAGUGAAACUAAUGAAGAACGGUCAUACAUGGUAAGUCCUAAAAAAUAUUGGUGUGCGGGUGAAAGUAGAAUGCUAUAUUCUUGGUGUUAGAUUUUGGAAAAUGUCUUUUAACAGCAUGAAGCCUUGAGUCUCUGAUUUUCAAGUGGUUAUUAUUACUUAGAGUCUUGUGCAGACAUGAUUUGGAAAGGGUGCAGGGUUAAUGCUGGGUAUUGACUUGGGUGUAAGAAGCAGAGUGAAAAAAUACUCCUGGCAAUGUACUAAUUUUUUACUUGUUGCUUCUGACCCAACUGGUUCUCACUUUUCUGCUGCCAGUACUGUGAUUGGAUGCCUGUGAAGGCCCCUGAUGAAUGCGUUCCCAAUACUUUCUCAGAUUAAUGCAAGUUAACCCUAAUGAAUGUGGAAACAGUAGAAACCCUCCCCAGGUAUCUGAAACCAUAUGGUGUACAGAUCCUGAGCCUAGGGGUGGUGGUCAGGCCUCAGGAGAGAACAGGAAUAAGUACCAGAAGGGCAUCAAUGAGCACAACAGUAUCUCUCUUUUCUCCCUCCAUACUCUCCCAUCUCUGCUUCAUUCUCUUCUCAUAUCAGAGAGCCCUCCUCUGCUUCUCUCUCUCCAGGUCAUAGGAGGUUCCUGUCAACUGCAGAUUCUAAUUAACUCAUCUCUCCUGGGAGGGAUAGUCCGGUCAGUUCUUUGAUCAGGUGCUUACCCAAGUUUAACCCAUAAUGGCCAAGAGAGUGGGAUCCCUUAGUGCCACAUGACUCCUGCCACCCAAAUUGUAAUUUCUGGUUUUUUUUUUAAAUCUGUCUAGUGGGAAUAAUAACAAAAUAUCCUUUAUUUGGAAUGUUGUGAAGAUGAGAUGAAAUAAUUUACAGUACCGGGCACACAGUAAAUAUUAAUACAUGUGAACUUAUUAUUCAUGUGUUGCUGUUUGGCAUACUAUUUCAAUCUAUAUAAGAGAUGUCUUUGCUCAGAUUUGUUGGAACCAUUUCAGGAAGUUUAGAAUAAAGGAAGAGGCUUAUUCUUUUACCAACUCUUAAGCAAGUUUGGGAGUAUGAGCCUGAGUGUGUCUUCAUUAGUACAGUAUCAGUCUUACAAACGUGGCUCAUGUAAUUAAAUUUGUUAGACUCUUUUCUUUAUCAUUCUGUGGAAGCAAACCAGAUGGGAAGAAGGCAAAUAAGAAAGCUUAUCAUUACCAAGGGUAAAACAAAAUACUCAUGCUAGCUGUUUAGACAUUUCUCAACUUCUAAUGAAUAAAAUAAGCACUAAUAGUAAUAUAAUUGUUGGUACUCAUUGAAGUUUGCAGUUAUUAAAACAGUAAUAAAAAGAAACUCAUCAUAGCCAUUACAUGAUUUUCCCACAUUUUAAUAGGCAUUUGCCUCUUUGAAUAAUUAAGGCAUGCCCAUUAAAUUCUCAGAUGAAUAAAGUUAAUGCCAAUGAACAUUUUAAAGUCAAUAUACACUGGCUGAAAAUGUUUUUUUUUUUUUUUUUCCUCAAGGUUUUGGCUGAUUGGACAAAACUCUUGAGUUAAAAAGUCAGGCUGCUAUGGUAAAAAGUUGGAGCAUAUCUGUGGGAUUUCUGUCUUAAAUAAUUUCACUUAAAAUGGGUAAAAAUGAUCUUUUGGCACUUAGGCAAAAGUAGUUCUUCUUCUUCUUAGUAACAAAAUGGUUGUGAUUUGGGUCAAUAUAAGCCUUUAUUGAGUCAGGCCUGUUCUCACUGCUGGGCUCUUGCACCUGCUGUACCUCUGCCUGGAGUCCUUUUUCUAGGUAUUUACAUGGCUGUGUCCUCCCCUCCCUCAUAUCUUGCUCAAAUGUUACCUUCUCAAUGAUAUAUACAGAGCCCACCCUCUUAAAAAUUGUAUUCUGCCAGCUCAGCAUUCCUCAACCUCCUUAUCUUGCUGGAUAUUUCCUAAAGAACUUACUCCAUUCUAACAAGUUAGAUACUUUACUUAUUUAUGAUGUUUAUUGUCUGUCUUUGCACUGUUUUUAUGUUUUCCCUGAUGUGUAUCUAGUGCCUCAAGCCAUGAACUUCAAUAAAUAUCUAAUGCAGGAAACAUGUUAAUUACACACAAAUAUUAUACAUGCAUAUACAUCUAUAAGUAGGGCUGAAAUAUUUUAGUAUAUGUUGGCAUAGUACUCUUUUUUAACUUUCAUCCUUGCAUCCAUCCAUCCAAAGUACUUAAUACUUUCCCUUGGAGCUUUGUUUUUGUUGGAGGAGGUCAAUGGAAAGAGGACACCAUUCCUGUUUUGAUUGAUUUUAUGAUACAGUUGUGGCAAGAGACAGUAAAAUAUUUCCUAUUAAAUGGGAUCAGAGCUAUUAAAGCUGAAGCAUUGGAUACUGUGAGAGAAGUUAGCAGAGGUGGACUUAACUUAGGCUUCUUUGAGGGGGGGACCUGAAUAAUGGGCAAGGGUUAUCCCAGAGAAGGGGUAGGUUGUGUGAGGGAUGUGCAGCCAACAGAAUGGAUGGCAGAUGUGAGUUAGACAGGAAAAUAGCAUGUGUACAAGCCUGGACACAGGAGAUAUCAGAGUGCUUUCAAGGAAAAGGGGAUCAAGUAUUGCAGAAUGGAGGGUAGGAAUGUGGAGAAUGAUGACGGAAACAGAGACCAAGUCUUCAAAUUUUAAGAUCCACUGAUGCAUUUUGGCUUAUGUUGGCCACUUGUGAAUUAUGAACAGCAUAUGAUGUACUUCCACUAAAGGCAACUGCUCUAUAUGUGUCUUAUACUUCUACUGUCAAUGGCAAAUAUAAGGCCUUGGGGGUAAUUGUUGCUGUCAAAUACAGCCUAUAAAAGCUAUCACCUGAAUGCCAUUUUAGUAUAGGUUUUCUCUUUUGGCCUGCCCAGAGUCCAUUUCCUCCUUCUCUGAUCACAAAACCUGAACUUUCCUCUGGGAGAAUUCUUUUUCAUCCCUGCUUUUACUCUUGGACUUUUAGGUUGGGCUCCAGAGGUGGAAGCUGUGAGCCUGCCCUCAGGGAGCAUGAAAUCCACAUGGUUACAGUGAUUGAUCCAGAAAGGAGCACAUGACCCAGUCCAGCCAAUCAGUAUAAUUUCACCCUAUUCUAGCUUAGGUAAUUAGUUCAAGGUGGGCAAAUUGGAGUGAUUAAAGUCAAUUCAUGGGUUACUGGGGGGAAAAGCUAAUUUCUGACUGGAUUUGAACCUGGGAAGUUUUGGUGCUCCAAAGUUGGUGGAAAUCCUCUUGGCUCUCCCUGGAGCCUGAGAGUUAAGCCGGGAUGGAGGAGAGUGGUGAGGCAGGACUGGAGUUCUGGGACUUGAGGAUGUUGUCUAAAGCUUCAGGCAAGGUUUGCCUAAAGUCAGAAAAAAAACUGCGUUUUGCAGAAAUAGGACUUAUUUUUCUAGAUUCAUUUUAAUUUUUGCUUAAGCAGUUUGACCUAGUUUUGUUUGCUUUCCUUCCUUCCUGACUUCCUGUCUUCCUUCUUUCCUUCCCACCUUCCUUCCUUUCCUUUUUUUUUUUUUUGUAUUUGCAAAAGCAAGCAUCCUGACAUAGACUGCAGAGAUUUCCUGGUUGUAGGCUCCCAGACUGCAGUUUGCUUAAAUGUGGUGCUGACACUUCUUAGUGACCAUUAUCAACCCUUGAAGUGAGCUAUUUCAAUGAAGUGCCUUGAAUAUCCUCUUAUUCUAUGCAAUUCAUCAUUGCGAAUACGAAGAAAUACUUUCUCCUUUAUCUUGUCCAUUAUUCUAACACAUACUAAACUAUUUGAAUUUUCACCCACUCCAUGCUUGUUAUUUUUUGAGAUUAUUAUCUGAGAAAACUCCAUAUAAUAUCAAUAAUGCUUUGCUUUUCCCUUGAACUGUAAGGAGAGUGGUACGUGGAUGAACUCUGUCAGUCCUGUGCUGAGCCUUGAUUCUCGACCUGGUUAAAAUCUCAUGCAGAUGUGCACCAUACUUUUCAGAGGAAUUCCAAGCAUCCUUGGGCUCCAAAUCAAACUACUGUUCACUGUAACUAAAACAGUCUGUUCUCAUCCAUGGUAGAAAGGUCCCAUUUUGUAAGAAGUCUCUUUUGGUUGGAUAUCCAUCAAUUUCAAGUCAGUGUUUUGUUUUUUUCAGAGAAGUUCAUUGUCAGUAAUUAGUUUUAUUCUUUCUGAAAAUGAACAUACUUAAUUCACUGCUCAUUACUCUUAUGCUGAAAAUGUAACUGUAACUUACAUGCGUCACUGUUUACUUCAGUUAUCUCUGAAAUCAUUCAUUCAUUCAUUCAUGUGUUUAUCCAUUGAACAAAAGUUUGUUGGAGGACCCAGUCACUGCUCUUGGUAUUAGGGAUACAGAGAAAACUGAUAAUGAUCUCUAAUUUUACGGAAUGCAUAUGGAUGGAAUUCCUAGUGCUUAUUUUAAAAUUAGGGGAUGGAAUUCUAAAGAGGAUUUUUUUUUUUUUUUUGUGGAGCCAUAGUUAUGGCAUAUGAAAGUGCCCAGGCUAGGGGUUGAAUUGGAGCUACAGCUUUCAGGCCUAUGCCAUAGCCAUGUGGGAUCCAAGCCUCAUCUGUGACCUACACCACAGCUUGUGACAACACUGGUCAAAUGCUCAUACUUUAAAAUUCAUAUUUUUUUUCUAGGAUUGUAGCUAUAUUGAAAAAAGGAAAGGUGUAAAAGCAUUAGUCCAUAGGAGAGAUAAGGGCAAAACCUCUUUGCCCAGAAUCUACAACCAUGGAUCACAUGAUCCUGGUUUACAAAUCUGGUUUCAUCUCUCACUGUACCCUCAACAAAGCCUUGCUUUAAGUAAAGUACCUGCUAAGAACAUUGCAGUAUUUUGGCUUAUGAGACUGUGUUUCCCUUUUCUCCCCAAACUUGGGAUGCCUUUCUUUGUCCCCUUCUUUUCUCAGAGUAUCUAAUUUUUACCCAUCACCAAGAACCAGUCUGUCCCAGUGCUCCUCAAACUUUAAUUGGCAUACAUAUCACCUAGGAAUAUUGCUAAAAUAUAGAUUCUGACUCAGGUCUGGGGCAGGGCUUGAAGUUGGGGAUUUCUAAUAAGCUCCCAGGUGAUGCUGAUGCUGCUGGUCCUUAAACCACACUGGGAGUAGCAAGCUUCCACCCUACUGUAAGUUCUUUAUUCUCACAUCCCCUCCUUUCCUGGCAAAUGGCCAGUUUUAUGUCUGUCCCCUAGUAUUGGUCAUUUUUCCAUGUGCAGGAUUCUCUAAGGGAACUAAUACUUAUUUUUGACCUACUAAAUGCUAAGCAUUUCACAUCUUCUCUCACACCCUAUUGAGAUGGUGUUACUACCCCCAUUUUAUAGCUAUUAGGAAAUAAGUUCUGAGAGCUUAAGGGAUUGUUUACCACAGACCGCACACAAUCUUUUAAAAGGUUUUUUGACGUUAUGGUCUGGAUUUCCUAUGUCUUUAAGUGAAACAAUACACAACACAGGGUUUACACAUUAUGGGAGUUCGGUAGACUUUUAGUAUCAGUUGGUAAAUAAUGAAUCCUCCAAAUCAUAACUUUAAGUAUUUGGGAUGAUUUCGAGAACAGUCAUAAUACAAUAUUGAGUGAAAAAAAUCAGGUUAUUGAAUGAGCAGUAAGACCAUCCUAACUGUGUCAAAAGUGCCUUUGUACAUACAGGAAAAAAAGAGUCUGAAAGAAAAUAAACUAAAACCAAAAAAGUGGCUAUUUGGGGGACAGUAGACCGGUAGUAUAGAGAUUCAGCUUUUAUGCUUGGCUCUAAUUUCUAAUUUCUAACCCUCCAAAACGUGGGUUUCGAGGGACCUAAAUCAACAUAAUAAAAGCCAUACGUGACAAACCCACAGCUAAUAUCAUUCUUAAUGGUGAAAAACUAAAAGCAUUUUCAUUAAAAUCAGGAACAUUACAAGGAUGUCCACUUUCACCACUAUUAUUCAACAUAGUUUUGGAAGCCCUAGAAACGGCAAUCAGAGAAGAAAAAAGAAAUAAAGGGAAUCCAAAUUGGAAAAGUGGAACUUUCACUGUUGGCAGAUGACAUGAUACAAUACCUAGAACAUCCUAAAGAAACUGCCAGAAAACUGUUAGAGCUCAUCAAUGAAUUUGGUAAAGUUGCAGGAUAUGAAAUUAAUACACAGAAAUCAAUUGCAUUUCUAUAUACUGACAAUGAAAGAUCAGAAAGAGAAAUUAGGGAAACCAUCCCAUUUACCAUCACAUCAAAAAGAAUUAAAUACCUAGAAAUAAACCUACUUAAUGAGACAAAAGACCUGUAUGUGCUCUGAUGAUUCUAAGACACUGGAGAAAGAAAUCAAAGAUAACAUGAACAGAUGGAAAGAUAUGCCAUGCUCUUGGAUUGGAAGAAUAAAUAUUGUAAAAAUAACUGAACUACCUAAGGCAAUCUACAGAUUCAGUGCAACCCCUAUCAAAUUACCAAGGACAUUCUUCAUAGAACUAGAAAAAAAUAUUUUAAAAUGUGUAGGGAAACACAAGAGACCCUGAAUAGCUAAAGCAAUAUUGUGGAAAAAAAAAAAA